rnacentral:rRNA from 1 species
UAGGGAAUCUUCCACAAUGGACGCAAGUCUGAUGGAGCAACGCCGCGUGAGUGAAGAAGGUUUUCGGACCGUAAAGCUCUGUUGUUGGUGAAGAAGGAUAGAGGUAGUAACUGGCCUUUAUUUGACGGUAAUCAACCAGAAAGUCACGGCUAACUACGUGCCAGCAGCCGCGGUAAUACGUAGGUGGCAAGCGUUGUCCGGAUUUAUUGGGCGUAAAGCGAGCGCAGGCGGAAGAAUAAGUCUGAUGUGAAAGCCCUCGGCUUAACCGAGGAAUUGCAUCGGAAACUGUUUUCUUGAGUGCAGAAGAGGAGAGUAGAACUCCAUGUGUAGCGGUGGAAUGCGUAGAUAUAUGGAAGAAUACCAGUGGCGAAGGCGGCUCUCUGGUCUGCAACUGGCGCUGAGGCUCGAAAGCAUGGGUAGCGAACAGGAUUAGAUACCCUGGUAGUCCAUGCCGUAAACGAUGAGUGCUAAGUGUUGGGAGGCUUCCGCCUNUCAGUGCUGCAGCUAACGCAUUAAGCACUCCGCCUGGGGGAGUACGACCGCAAGGUUGAAAC